AUUGAACGCUGGCGGCAGGCCUAACACAUGCAAGUCGAGCGGAUGAAGGGAGCUUGCUCCUGGAUUCAGCGGCGGACGGGUGAGUAAUGCCUAGGAAUCUGCCUGGUAGUGGGGGAUAACGUCCGCAAACGGGCGCUAAUACCGCAUACGUCCUGAUGGAGAAAGUGGGGGAUCUUCGGACCUCACGCUAUCAGAUGAGCCUAGGUCGGAUUAGCUAGUUGGUGGGGUAAAGGCCUACCAAGGCGACGAUCCGUAACUGGUCUGAGAGGAUGAUCAGUCACACUGGAACUGAGACACGGUCCAGACUCCUACGGGAGGCAGCAGUGGGGAAUAUUGGACAAUGGGCGAAAGCCUGAUCCAGCCAUGCCGCGUGUGUGAAGAAGGUCUUCGGAUUGUAAAGCACUUUAAGUUGGGAGGAAGGGCAGUAAGUUAAUACCUUGCUGUUUUGACGUUACCAACAGAAUAAGCACCGGCUAACUUCGUG
rnacentral:rRNA from 1 species